AGUGGCGACCGGGUGAGUAACACGUGACUAACCUACCCUCGAGUGUGGAAUAACAUCGGGAAACCGAUGCUAAUACCGCAUAACAUCGGCGCUUUUCAAUAAGUGCCGAUCAAAGGAGCAAUCCGCUUGAGGAGGGGGUCGCGGCUGAUUAGCUAGUUGGCGGGGUAACGGCCCACCAAGGCGAAGAUCGGUAGCCGGCCUGAGAGGGCGCACGGCCACACUGGAACUGAAACACGGUCCAGACUCCUACGGGAGGCAGCAGUGGGGAAUUUUGCGCAAUGGGGGAAACCCUGACGCAGCAACGCCGCGUGGAGGAUGAAGCCCCUUGGGGCGUAAACUCCUUUCGACCAAGACGAUAACGACGGUACUGGUGGAAGAAGCACCGGCUAACUCUGUGCCAGCAGCCGCGGUAAUACAGAGGGUGCAAGCGUUGUUCGGAAUUAUUGGGCGUAAAGGGCGCGUAGGCGGCGCGACAAGUCACCUGUGAAAUCCCCGGGCUUAACUCGGGGCCUGCAGGCGA
rnacentral:rRNA from 1 species